UGUGUGUGUGUGUGUGUGUAGCAGUGACACUCCCAGGUCUGGUGGGUGUGGCCCUGCCAGCUGCUGGUCACGCCUAGGUUCUCACACACCUGCUACUGAUCAGGCUCGUCGGGGAGCUACUUAACAGAACGAUGGAGCUUCCUCCGGUGCAGGAUCAUUGAGUUAGACUCCAUGAGGGGAGCGGGACACAGGACAGCAGGACGCACGGGAGCAGAGACCACGGAAUACCAGCACUUAGGAGAAGGCACAACACAGGAGUUGAGGAAGCACACUGGAGAUUUAUUGUGUGGUGUACAAUUACCUCACUGUAAAUAAACGCACUGUUCAUUGCACCAAGUCCAGCGUUUGGGUCCUUUCUCCAACAUCCCCACGGCUUGCCCUGGCAAACCGUAACACUCUUAGUUUAAGAUUUUUAGAAUAAAUAUGUAGAAGCAACAUUUCUGCAUCUAAAGCAAUCAUUGUAGUUAAAAUUUGGUUUAUUUUGCUCAUCACCUCCUGCCAAAAUGUGCGGACAAUUCUGCAUUCCCAUAUACAGUGGAAAAAUGUCCGACAGGCUUCCCCACAUUUAAAACAUGUAUCUGGAAUUCUGUUGUUAUAUUUGUUCAAUUUCACCUGUGGUAACACCUGCUACACAAAAGCUACAUGUUAGUUUUUGUAAGAAAACCAAUUACCCCCUUAUUUGUUGUUUAUUGUUGUGACUUAUUUUGACAUUGUUAUGUGUUGCCAGACCAUGGUUAUAUUUCAUUAUGCCAGUAGAUGGUGAUCUUGCACUGCUGUGGAACUACCAGAGAGACUCUAGCUAUAGGCUCUGCGCAUGCGCAGCUCAGAAAUAAAUGAGCUCCGGCCUGAGCAAGACGCUAACUUCGGUGUCCUCUCUAUUAAUCCACAGGUACUGACAAACAAACUUUUAUGUUACCAAACUGGUUCUAAAUGUCAUGUAAGUUGAGUAACAACUGUUCGGCUAUAUUUUGAGAUGAUUGUGAUGAUGUUGUUUUGUGGUAUUUUGUUGUAAUGAGUAUUAGUGUAUCAUCGGCAUAAUGCUAUAAUGCUACGUAGCACUAUAAGUAUAUGCCAUGACAGUGGCAACCUGCGACUUCAGAAAAUGUGUUGUACUGUUUGUUUUAGUGUUAGCCAAGCAGUACUGAGUACAUGUAUUAAGGGGAAAGGUUUUCGUUGGUGAAACAACGUUUGCAGUCGUCUGCCGCCAUGUUGUGUUGCGUUCAGGGGACGCCAUGUUCAAAAGUGAUAGCGUAUAUGGCGCGAAUGUGGGGACAGGUUGUGUGAAUGUGAGAUGGGUUAUUUCGGUAUGUUGUUAUGCUUUAACCGCGAGUGUUUUGUUUAAGUUGUGAGUAUGUAAAGUUAUUUUGAAUUAGUUUGUGUUUAUUUUGCUUUUGAGAGAAUGCUUUUUGUAACUUUAUUUUUGUUUAUCAACUAUGUUAUUUUAUGGGAAGAAUGCAUGGUCUAGUGUGAUUUGUAUUGUGUAUAUGUGGAGAAAUAAAUGAGCUCCGGCCUGAGCAAGACGCUAACUUCGGUGUCCUCUCUAUUAAUCCACAGUUUGCUCAUACUUGGCUACGCAGUGCUCUCUAGCCUGUGUGCCGCUUGCUGCCGGUCCAGAUUCCCCUAGAUCUGGUGCAGGGGUGACCAAAUGUAUCUCUGCUCGAAUGCUGGGAUGUUUGCGAACACAACUGCUGUGAACAAACUGACAAAAAUUGCUGAUCCUCACUCCUAUUUAUGGAAAAAGAAGGAUCAAAGAUCCUAAGAUGUCUUUGUGACAUCAUCACUCUGUAAGCCAAUGAGAUUCUCACAUGAAAUUUAUGAAUGAGAAUGUUUUUUUUUAAACUGUUUUCAAAUUUAAUAUGUCAGUUUUUCUUAGGCUACAUUCAAUGAUGAUGCAGCCUUGACAUGAGGUUUGGCAGGUUGCUGGAAACAGUGAACACCUCAGACACGCAGCCUGCCAUGGACAGCAGAGAGAUGAUCAGAAGAACGGGUUUACAAUCAGCGACAUGCUUUUUUUUUUUUUUUUAACCCGACCUGUUCAUAUUGCGGCAUCUUGAAUGAUGAACGCUUUAUGAGGAAGUGAUGUGGGGCAUGAGUACGGUGAACCUUCACUCAGACAACUCCCCGUCGCAGUAUUUGGAUCACACUUAGUCACAUUAAAUCUGUUUUUCAGGAUUAAAGCUUUAACUUGAACUAAAUUUUGCACGUGUGCUGAUAUGUACAGUGAUAUGGAUGUUUCAUAGCAAUUGUAAAAUUAUUUUAGAAAGUGAAAACAAAAAGAAUCUAUCCUCUUUUCAAGUUUAAGAAGAUAGGUUGCAGUAGACUUUUUAAAUGGUCAGAGAUUGAAAUGUAUUGACUUUUGUAUAGUAUUUUUUUCUCUCUUAUUUUAUUUACUAAAUGUACCUGUAUAUUGUUUACAUGUUUGAAAUAAAUUAACAACAAUAAUAAUAAUAAUAAAUUUGUAUCACUGUAAAAAAAAUGUAUCUGAAAUGGUAAAAAUAUAAAAUUAGGAGAUAAAGUAUCAUAUCUAAAAGCUAAAGUUGGGGUUUUUUGGUAUUCGUACUUAGAAUUUGUGUGUUCGCAUAGCUUUGCUCCCACAUACAUCCACCAUCAGUACAUCAGCGCUGUCACUUGGCAAUGUGGAGAGAUCACUGGAGGUAAUGUAGAGAGAAUAGGGUGGGGUUUACUCGCUAAAAGAGGCGUCCUAGAGACGCCGAAGAAUCUUUCUAUACUUUAAAAGUAAAACCUACAUACACAGCUCUGAUUACAAACCCCUUGCUUCCCCUUCUUUUCUAUUGGUAACUUUCUUUCUCUUUUGUCACCACCAACAAUGAUUCACUCAUCUCUGACCUGCACCAAAGACAUAUAUGCGCUGCAUUAAGUUGUCACAUAGUCCAGUCAACGAAUACUCUUCAUCCUCAGCGAAACCAGACACAUCAGGUCGAGAUAGACUCACAGCUAGGCCAGUUACUCACACACAAAUUGGCAUCAUCGACCCACAAAUUUGAUGCGUCAGUGCAUUUGGGACAUCUGUGCAAAGCAAUCGAGGUACACACAACAUGAUGGAAAGGUGUCCGGUCCUCAUCAGGACUUCAAUUUAGGUAAAUAGAACUUCAGAUCAAGAACGACACAUGACAUAUUACACCAUGUAAUUAUUGACUCAUUAUUUACUUAGUGCUUCUAUAGAGUAUCAGAGGGUAAGUAACAGCCAGCCAAAUCAAACUGAUUAUCAGUAAGAGGCAGAAGCUCUAUAAAAGUAAAGUCUUUACUUGUCUGGAGCAUUCAGGUGUGUGUCAGAGAUAUCAGCAGUGAUCUUACAGACACAACUAUUGCUGCCUCUCUACCUCAAAAGAGUUAUAAAGUCAUUUCCAAACAAUUUGACAUCCAGAUCUAGAGCUACAACAUUUAAGACCGCUUCCUGUCUUCCCAGAGGUGGAUGUCCUGGGAAAUUCCCAAGACCAGGCGAUACGAUGCUCAGAGAAACGACGAAAAACCAUAGACACUACAGGCCUCGGUUGGUGUUUUAAAAGUUAAACUUCAUGACAGUACAGUUCAGUAAAAAGACUGAACAAGAAUGUUUUGUUUGGAAAGAUUUCCAGGAGAAAGACUUUUCUCUGACAUGGAUGGAUCCUUCGUUUUGGUAAUUUCAUGGGACAGUAUCAAAAAUACUCAAAAAUAAACAGUCUUAAAUGCCGAACAGGCAUAUUUGGUUUAAAUUCCACCAUACAGGAUUUGAGAAGAUCCAGGAAGCCUUUAAAUUUCAUAAAGGUUGUGUUCGAAAAACAUAAGAGUAGUCAGUUUUUGAUAAGCGGGUUUGUUUUCUGAUGUCUCAUCAAUAGAAAAAGAACCGGUCAGAGAAUGUCACUGCUGCAACUGUGUCAAAGGCUCCAAAAUAAAAGUUUAGACAAAAAAGAUUUAUUGACAAGCAAAACAGCAUCUCUAUAUAUUACAUAAAGUCAUCUUAUGUACAAAAUUAAUUUGUAUUGACUGAAAACACAAAGUCCUCGUGCAGGAGCUGCAUGUUCAGAGUUUUUGCAGUCAUCCUUGUCAGCUCACGGUCACAGCACUUUUUUCUAUGCUUCUGCACUUUGGAAACAGCAGAUCUGGAGUCAAAUCAGGCUUUGUUGUCUUUGCCUGCUUGGCUGGGGGGAGGAUCCAUCAGGUCCUUAAA